UCCACACAAUUUCAGGACACUUUUAUGUAGAUUGAAGUUAAAAAUAUGAAACGAUGCAACGAUACAAACGAUACAACAAAGUAACCCAAGUAAAACUGCGAAGUGAGAAAUGCAGCCGAAAAAGUCAUUCAUUUUUCAUUUUUCGGACCAAGCGGAAGCAAAAUUUUAAAGUGAUUUUUUUAGAAUUUUCAAAGUUUUCGAAGACUAUCAACUAAUCUAGACCAGCUUGAACGGAAACUGCAAUAGUUAAAAUAGAACCAGCAAAAAUCAGCGCUUGAAAAUGCCAAGAAAAAUUUGUUCCCCGUGUGCCUACCCAUGUGGACCGUGCCGACCGUGUGGUCCUUGUGGACCUUGCUGUGAUCCUUGUCCACCGGUGUGCGGUCCGUAUCAGCCAUGCUUCGGGACUUGCUCGCAGAUUGGCUGUGCACCUUGCGGACCCUGUGGACCGUGUGCGCCUUGCGUACCAUGUGGUCCUUGUGGACCAUGCGGACCUUGCGGACCCUGUGGGCCACGUGGGCUCUGUGGUCCUUGCGGGCCAUGUGGGCCUUGUGGGCCAUGCAGAGAUUCCAACAACUGUUGCUAAUUGAUUGUAAUUAAACUGCGCAUACGCUACUUAUAAUAUAGCGCUUCGAAAACGAAA